rnacentral:rRNA from 1 species
UACGAAGGGGCUAGCGUUGCUCGGAAUCACUGGGCGUAAAGCGCACGUAGGCGGACUCUUAAGUCAGGGUUGAAAUCCUGGAGCUCAACUCCAGAACUGCCUUGAUACUGGAGCCUUGAGUUCGGGAGAGGUGAGUGGAACUGCGAGUGUAGAGGUGAAAUUCGUAGAUAUUCGCAAGAACACCAGUGGCGAAGGCGGCUCACUGGCCCGAUACUGACGCUGAGGUGCGAAAGCGUGGGAGCAACAGGAUAGAACC